CUCCAGCCAGAUACACUGGCCAGAAUGUAUAUAGAUUAAUAUUAUGAAGAGUUGUUUUUCGAAAAUUUGACGAAUUUAAAUUCACUUAUGGACAAAAUUUUUAAUGCCAUCGGAUAGGAUACCAAGCAUAUGAGUAAAGAGUUUCCUAUUAGAAUGGUCAACGGAUUUGAUAGAAGCGAUAAAACGACCUAAUGUGCGUAAAGAACGUUCUUCAGAUGAAGACGUUAUUGGUAUAAAAUUUGGACUAAACUAAUUUAUAUUUGAUUCUUGAAUCGGGGCUUUUUAUUUGCAAUGUAGCUUGUCUGCAUAAUUGUAAUUGAAAGUUUUUAUUUGUAAUUGUAUAUUGAGUUCCUGUGGCUAUCAUGUCUGUCUAUGGCGCGCCGAGAUGGACAAUAUUACCAAAAUCGAAAAUAUUUACAACGAAACACAUUAUCGUAUGUCGAAAAUAAUAUACUGGUAACUUUUUCAAUAUUUGUAAAACGAAACGCAAAAAUAUAAAAGAAAACAAAAAUUCGUUUACCAUAA